rnacentral:sRNA from 1 species
GCUUUUUUAAAUUCUCAUCAAUCAUCUCCUUGAACUGACUGACAAUUGCACCUUCCUUCUUCAUCCUCUCCUCCCGCUGCAACUUUAGAAUCGCCCUCUUCUCAGCUUCAUUGAUCACUUGGUUCUCUUUGCGCAUGCGGACUGCAUUCAUGCGUUGGUGGCGAGAGCCCGACAUGACAUAGCCAGAGGAUUCGAAUACGGCAAUUUGUUCGGAAUCGAGACCGAUUUCACCUCGUCGGGGAAUACGUUGACCAGAUUCGGCAUAUGCCAUGAUAGCUUCUCCUUCGCCGGGAAGCAUGUUGGUGAAGCUAGUAAAAAGAUUAGUAGCGGUAAAAAUCAAGUCAAGUAGAAUUCGACGCCACUCACGCGGAUCGUCCUUUCUUUUCACUGAUUUCCUUAGGUAACUGCGGUCCAACUUCAACAUCGUCAUCGUCGUAUUCAACGACUUGUUCCUUGAUGGGCGCAGAGAUAACCUCCUUUCCUUUCGAUUGCCUCUCAUGGCCUUUUUCGACCCAUUGGUCAUCGUCCGUCUUUUCGCUCCGGCGCCUUUUUCGCCUCUCCCGCUCUUCUUCAUCCGAAUCAUACCUUCUUUCUCGAUCCCUGUCUUUCCCCCGGUCUUUUUCUCUCUCCUUCACACGUUUUCUACGUCGACGUCUUCGUUCUUCUUCAGAAUCCGUAGAAUCAGAAUCGGAGUACUUGGAGCGCUUUGACCGUUUUGAUUUCGACUUGCGAGAAGAUUUGGAUUUUGACUUUUUGCGUUCGGCUUCAAUUUCACUGGUUGCUAUUAGCGACUUUAUUUUGGUAUGCAGAAAUGAGAAA